AUCGCUUCUCGGCCUUUUGGCUAAGAUCAAGUGUAGUAUCUGUUCUUAUCAGUUUAAUAUCUGAUAUGUCCUUUAUUUAAGGACGAAGUAUUAAGCAAGUUUUUAGAACGAGGAAGUGGAAUGUGAGCUUGCUCUGUCCACUCCACGCAUCGUCCUGGUAUUGCAGUAUUUCCAGGAAAGGUGUACCCCCC
ensembl:snRNA U2 U2 spliceosomal RNA